AUUGAACGCUGGCGGCAUGCCUUACACAUGCAAGUCGAACGGUAACAGGUCUUCGGAUGCUGACGAGUGGCGAACGGGUGAGUAAUACAUCGGAACGUGCCCGAUCGUGGGGGAUAACGAGGCGAAAGCUUUGCUAAUACCGCAUACGAUCUACGGAUGAAAGCGGGGGAUCUUCGGACCUCGCGCGGACGGAGCGGCCGAUGGCAGAUUAGGUAGUUGGUGGGAUAAAAGCUUACCAAGCCGACGAUCUGUAGCUGGUCUGAGAGGAUGAUCAGCCACACUGGGACUGAGACACGGCCCAGACUCCUACGGGAGGCAGCAGUGGGGAAUUUUGGACAAUGGGCGAAAGCCUGAUCCAGCCAUGCCGCGUGCAGGAUGAAGGCCUUUGGGUUGUAAACUGCUUUUGUACGGAACGAAAAGCCUCUUUCUAAUAAAGAGGGGUCAUGACGGUACCGUAAGAAUAAGCACCGGCUAACUACG
rnacentral:rRNA from 1 species